GAACGCUGGCGGCGUGCCUAAUACAUGCAAGUCGAACGCUUCUUUCCUCCCGAGUGCUUGCACUCAACUGGAAAGAGGAGUGGCGGACGGGUGAGUAACACGUGGGUAACCUACCCAUCAGAGGGGGAUAACACUUGGAAACAGGUGCUAAUACCGCAUAACAGUUUAUGCCGCAUGGCAUAAGAGUGAAAGGCGCUUUCGGGUGUCGCUGAUGGAUGGACCCGCGGUGCAUUAGCCAGUUGGUGAGGUAACGGCUCACCAAGGCCACGAUGCAUAGCCGACCUGAGAGGGUGAUCGGCCACACUGGGACUGAGACACGGCCCAGACUCCUACGGGAGGCAGCAGUAGGGAAUCUUCGGCAAUGGACGAAAGUCUGACCGAGCAACGCCGCGUGAGUGAAGAAGGUUUUCGGAUCGUAAAACUCUGUUGUUAGAGAAGAACAAGGACGUUAGUAACUGAACGUCCCCUGACGGUAUCUAACCAGAAAGCCACGGCUAACUACGUGCCAGCAGCCGCGGUAAUACGUAGGUGGCAAGCGUUGUCCGGAUUUAUUGGGCGUAAAGCGAGCGCAGGCGGUUUCUUAAGUCUGAUGUGAAAGCCCCCGGCUCAACCGGGGAGGGUCAUUGGAAACUGGGAGACUUGAGUGCAGAAGAGGAGAGUGGAAUUCCAUGUGUAGCGGUGAAAUGCGUAGAUAUAUGGAGGAACACCAGUGGCGAAGGCGGCUCUCUGGUCUGU
rnacentral:rRNA from 1 species